GUGUUCCUCUAAUUGGGAAAUUGCCGCGCCGAGGACGACCCCCUUCUCUGACGCCGCUAAUUGGAUAAUUGGCCUUCAGCUCCCGGUUGCACGCAGGAGGAACGUGGGUUGGACUGCAGAUGUAGACCUUUACAUCACAUCGAAAGUGUGACAUGGCAGAUGAAGGGACCCUUGGCAACCAAUCUGCUGUCCCCCUUUCGAUUUCUUACUUCCACGUUUGGGGAAUACGGCAGAUAUGGGGGAUGGUUGGUUGUAACCCUGUGAGAAAACCUUUGCAACCCCCAUCUCCUGCAGCCGACAAAGCAAAUAGUGUCGCUUGGGGAUGUGAAUUUUUAAUUAGCAUGGAUUUCAACUAAAGACAAAUCUAGGAUUAAUGUUAUAAAGUAAAGAAUAUUUCUUUCUUUUAUUUUGUGCUGUCGAUUAUCUGUUUUCUGUACGCUUAUAAUACAUCCUCUGACCUGGUUAUUAUCUGUCUGUAUGACUGCUACAACCAAACUAUGAACCUGAACCUGUUACUCUUCAUGUGUGAAUAUACUGAAUGCUACACUUAGAGAAAUCAGAGUGCGCUCUCUCACACACAUGCACACACAAAUGUACUGCAGAAGGCAGUACAUUUAGAGUAUGUACAUCACCUAUUAUUGUAAUUUCACUUUCAUAAGUUUUAAGGUGAUAAUGUGUUUACCAAAAAUGUCCCUGUUUCUACAUCUCCAGAACUCUGUUAGUCAAAGCAGGGUCGGGCUGUGCUGCUGCCAGCAAAUCAGCACUGCUGGUAUAAUUACACCAUGUUUAUUUUUGUGUUUUUUUAUUAAAACCUCAAUUUUGUUGGUUGUUCUUUCAGCAACCAACAGUAUAUAUCAUUGUUUUGAUGCUGUAUGUCAGAUGCAGACCAAAUAUGUGUUAAAAUAAUGAAGAAAUACAAAGCACAGACCAGGCCAUCACACAUGAGAUACAGACAAUAUGUGAAAAAUCCAGGAAUAACAGCUUUUAUUGGCUCUGUGCCUGUGUUCCUUCUGGAAAGCAUCUUAGCUAUAUAAACCAAAGCUACAUGGAUCUACAGAUCUAUACACAGCUGGAAUUUACAUUGUACUUUUUCACUUUGGCCUGUCACUCAAACUGUUGAUGAUCACCUCCCAUAACAUGUUUCAAUCUGUGCUUCAUGAAUAGAUUGUGACAGUCAGUGUGUAGGAUGUCCCUUUGAUGGAUAUGGACUUGUGUUCGCUGAGCAACUGCUUAUUACUGCUGGAGUAAAAAGGCUUAAAAUAUACUACACAAUCUAUUUGAUCACAUUUGAUGUUCUGUGGUGUUACUGUCUGAGAUUAAAUCUCACCUGGGUUAUAUCGUAAAUAGAGCAAAGAAAGAGCACCAAACCGGAUAAAGAUGGGGUCCAAAGUUUUAUCCAUUUAGACAUGACAAGGAAUUAAUAAAUUCUAAGAAAUUCCACAUAACAAAGCCUAUUUUAACUUCCUGGUCACUUUAAAAUGUUACUUCCUCACAGUAGCCAUUUUGACUUGUCAAAUAGGUAUAAUCAAUUAAACUUAAUGAUCUGUGUGAGAAAAGGUCUAUUUCUUUUAAUGUGAAGUCAUUCGUUUUUCCCUUUCGGUACAAUAUACGUGUGUGUAAUCAAUGAUGACCACACUGAAAAUUCUUGGUCUGCAAUCUAACAUCUCUAAAAAACUUUGAAUUAACCUACAUUUAAAUUCACCGAGAGGCUCAGUAAGGGUACAUUUUGGGG